AACGAACGCUGGCGGCAGGCUUAACACAUGCAAGUCGAACGGGCCCUUCGGGGUCAGUGGCAGACGGGUGCGUAACACGUGGGAACGUGCCCUUCAGUUCGGAAUAGCCCAGGGAAACUUGGGCUAAGACCGGCUACGCCCCUUGGGGGUAAGAUUUAUCGCUGAAGGAUCGGCCCGCGUCUGAUUAGCUAGUUGGUGAGGUAAAGGCUCACCAAGGCGACGAUCAGUAGCUGGUCUGAGAGGAUGAUCAGCCACACUGGGACUGAGACACGGCCCAGACUCCUACGGGAGGCAGCAGUGGGGAAUAUUGGACAAUGGGCGCAAGCCUGAUCCAGCCAUGCCGCGUGAGUGAUGAAGGCCUUAGGGUUGUAAAGCUCUUUCGUCCGGGACGAUAAUGACGGUACCGGAAGAAGAAGCCCCGGCUAACUUCGUACCAGCCGCCGCCGUAACAC
rnacentral:rRNA from 1 species